CAAUAGCGUAUAUUUAAGUUGCUGCAGUUAAAAAGCUCGUAGUUGGAUUUCGGGUGGGAAUGGCCGGUCCGCCGUUUCGGUGUGCACUUGCUACGCCCACCUUGCUGCCGGGGACGUGCUCUUGAGUUCACGCUCGGGACACGGAGUCGGCGAGGUUACUUUGAGUAAAUUAGAGUGUUCAAAGCAGGCCUACGCUCUGAAUACAUUAGCAUGGAAUAACACGAUAGGACUCUGGCCUAUCUUGUUGGUCUGUAGGACCGGAGUAAUGAUUAAGAGGGACAGUCGGGGGCAUUCGUAUUUCAUUGUCAGAGGUGAAAUUCUUGGAUUUAUGAAAGACGAACUACUGCGAAAGCAUUUGCCAAGGAUGUUUUCAUAAA
rnacentral:rRNA from 1 species